rnacentral:lncRNA from 1 species
UGGCAGAGUAUUAGGAAGAUGUGUCGGACCCGCUGCUUUCCACCUCCGCGGCUCGUCUUUGGGUUCCAAGUGUCUGCGGCCGCAGGCUGCCCGUGUCUCCUCGGCGUGGUAGGAUUCCUUGAGCCAGGGACUUGUGAUUCCUGAAACCAAACCGUCACCAGAAAAGGUCCACACUUAGUGAAUGCGUCGUGGGCCGCCUUUGUUGUGAGCUCACCUCUACAGACGUGGCUAGCCGUCCCGCUCCUCAACCUAGCGUUUAAAUUCCCCAGAUUGGACCCUGUCGUAUAUCUGGCCAGUUAUUGAGAGAAGCACCGGGGUCUGGAAUGAGCCUUAGAAGAAGAAUCUGGAACUAGUUCUAUUUGUCAGUCAUUCAUGCAGCAAACAGUUAUUGAGCAUCUAUGCACCAUACGACGUGGCUGGGCACUAUUCAAAUUUAAAUUACGGCCAUUGCCUGCCAAUAGCACACAAACCAGUGGAGGAGAUAGGAUACUGGACAAAAACAUCAUACCAAAGGACGCUAAGGCUGCUAAAAAGAUGUUCAAGCUGCUAUCAGACAGAGGAUAGACUUCUCAGGGUGAGGGAGGUGGUGACAAGAAGGAGUCUCUGGUGGCGACAAGUUAUGCCUCUCUCUCCCUGAGGUUUUGUAGCUGAAGAGUGAGUUAGCGAAUGUGGCCGUGAUUGAAAAGUUUUUCCUUCAUUCGACAGACUUUUUUUGAAUGCCCAGCAUAUGCCAGGUACUGCCCAUUGGGGAUACAGUGAUCUGCCCUCAUGGAGCUUAGAGUCUAGAGGGCGAGUCAUAUGUUAAUCUAAAAUAAUAUAAAAACACAGCCAUGAUAAUUUGCUGCCAAAGAGCUUGUGGACAAGUGUAUAGGAUCAAGAAUUCACAUUGUGAUGAAGAGUGAUAAGGAAAUUGUUGGCACGCUUCUAGGAUUUGAUGACUUUGUCAAUAUGGUACUGGAAGAUGUCACUGAGUUGUGAGUAGUGUUAAAAAUUAAAGAAUUGGGGUGGGGGUAAUCUCUCGCUUUUUAAUUUAAGGCAGUUUUAGUAUUAUUGAGGCAGUAAAAUGAUGCAUGCAAAAACAUUGUCUGUUGGAAUUACCUUAAAAUAGAAAUUUUAUCUACUGACACUAGUAAUUGGAUUGGAGGGUUAUUACCUCAAUGUAAUUAUUGCUAAACUGGUAGGGAAUUAGUGGAGGCAAAACUUUAAGGUAAAAGAUACUGAAAAACAGCCAAGAAUCUUAGGGCUCAGGUCACAUCAGGGAACUGAUAGUAAGAUCAUUUACUGCUUUUAAUUAAAUUAAUUGCUCUGUAAUUUAUGUAUAAUAUAAAAUGUAGAUGAUGAGUCACUUAUAUUAGUUAUAAAGAUCACAACCAAUAUCUUCACUUUCAGAAUUGAAUUGAAUACAGAUUGGGUUUAAUGGGUAGGAAUCAGUAAUAAGUAAUAGGAAAAAGAAUGAGGGAAGUAAGCAUUUCAUAUUUGAUCUCCUUGGCAAGUUUCAGCUUUUAUGAAGAUCAGCCCUAGUAGAUGUGAAUCUUAGGGCGGUCAGUCCACUCUGUUGCCUUUGGGGAAGAGUAUACAUCACCCAGUGGAUAACCUUUGUCUCUGAAAACUGUUGACCUAAUUGCCUGACCUCACAUUCAUUUAUAUACAAUAAUUAAUCUUUCCAGGGAUCAAAAUGUUGGCUUUGAUUAUCACUGUUUAUCCUGACUCUUUUUUAUCUAUUCAUUUAGUGAAAUCACACCAGAAGGAAGAAGGAUUACUAAAUUAGAUCAGAUUUUGCUAAAUGGCAAUAAUAUAACAAUGGUAAGACAGUAAACCUGAUUUUAUUUAGAUGUUAAACCAUUUUUUGGGUCAGGACUUACAGAACUAACUUGCUGGAUGAAAUGUUCACGGCCCAGUGGUGCCUGAGAUGGGGAAGUGGUGCUCUGGUGGUCAGGCUCUAAAGCUGAGCUGUUGAAGGUGACAUUGGGCCUAAAGAUUAGUUUGUGCUUUUUAGUAUUUCAUUUUAUUUUUUUUAUUGUUGAGACACUAAAUGUUAAUUGAUCGUGUUGGAAUUAUAAACAGCAGUGACAUGGAGAAAAUGGGGAUGUGGAGGAGGGGCUGAGGGGCAGAAGUGGCUUUGGUCA